rnacentral:misc_RNA from 1 species
GAUGAAGAACGUAGUGAAAUGCGAUACGUAAUGUGAAUUGCAGAAUUCAGUGAAUCAUCGAGUCUUUGAACGCACAUUGCGCCCCCUGGUAUUCCGGGGGGCAUGCCUGUCCGAGCGUCAUUGCUGCCCUCAAGCACGGCUUGUGUGUUGGGCCUCCGUCCUCCUCCCGGGGGACGGGCCCGAAAGGCAGCGGCGGCACCGCGUCCGGUCCUCGAGCGUAUGGGGCUUCGUCACCCGCUCUUGUAGGCCCGGCCGGCGCUUGCCGACACAUCAAUCUUUUUUCCAGGUUGACCUCGGAUCAGGUAGGGAUACCCGCUGAACUUAAGCAUAGCAAUAAGCGGAGGA